rnacentral:rRNA from 1 species
AGAGUUUGAUCAUGGCUCAGAACGAACGCUGGCGGCGUGGAUAAGACAUGCAAGUCGAGCGCUGAUUACAGGGUAGCAAUAUUUUGUAGUCGGAGCGGCGCAAGGGUGCGUAACACGUGGGUAAUCUGCCAUGAAGUUUGGAAUAACUUGCUGAAAGGCGAGCUAAUACCGGAUGUGACAAUUGAGAGGCAUCUUCCGAUUGUCAAAGCUGGGGACCGUAAGGCCUGGCGCUUCAUGAUGAGCCCGCGGCCUAUCAGCUAGUUGGUGAGGUAACGGCUCACCAAGGCUAAGACGGGUAGCUGGUCUGAGAGGACGACCAGCCACACUGGAACUGAGACACGGUCCAGACACCUACGGGUGGCAGCAGUCGAGAAUUUUUCACAAUGGGCGCAAGCCUGAUGGAGCGACGCCGCGUGGGGGAUGAAUGGCUUCGGCCCGUAAACCCCUGUCAUUUGCGAACAAAUUGGUUCAAUUAACACCUGAACCAUUGAUAGUAGCGAAAGAGGAAGGGACGGCUAACUCUGUGCCAGCAGCCGCGGUAAUACAGAGGUCCCAAGCGUUGUUCGGAUUCACUGGGCGUAAAGGGUGCGUAGGUGGUGAGGUAAGUCGGAUGUGAAAGCUCGGAGCUCAACUCCGAAAUGGCAUUGGAAACUACCUUGCUAGAGGGUUGGAGGGGGGACUGGAAUACUUGGUGUAGCAGUGAAAUGCGUAGAUAUCAAGUGGAACACCAGUGGCGAAGGCGAGUCCCUGGACAACUCCUGACACUGAGGCACGAAAGCUAGGGGAGCAAACAGGAUUAGAUACCCUAGUAGUCC